UUGAGUCUUGACUUUCUGAUGUUGUAGGGUCCAGUAGAGGUUGCUGUUGUUUUCUUGAAGGACAGUCCAGAAAAUAAAGCACAGGACGUCCGCCACAGAAACAAACUACGUCUCUCCUUUAAGGAUUUCCUCAAAAAGUGCAGUGAUGCUCUUCAUAAGAAUAAAACCCUGAUUUCAAGUGAUCAGAAGGAAUAUCAGCGUGAGUUAGAACGAAACUACCACAAUGUCCGAGACAAACUACUACCCUACAUCUCAUCUAACCUAGCCACUCUUAGAUCUAAGCACCACAGACGUGGGAACAAAGAUUCUCCCAGUAAACACAAAUCAUCAGGAUCAUCCAAAACCUAGCCUCACACAGACCAGGCCAUGAUUUACACAGAACGAGAGUGAAUUACAGAAACUUCAUUGUAAAAUGUUAACCAUGUGCUUAAUGGAAAGGUGUGCCCUGUACAA